GACGAACGCUAGCGGCGUGCUUUAUACAUGCAAGUCGAACGAUGAAGUUCCUUCGGGAAUGGAUUAGUGGCGAACGGGUGAGGAACACGUGAGAAACCUGCCUUUCAUACUGGGAUAACACCGGGAAACCGGUGCUAAUACCGGAUACUCCAUCUUGGCGGCAUCGCCGAGCUGGGAAAAAAUUUUGAUGAAAGAUGGUCUCGCGGCCUAUCAGCUAGUUGGUGAGGUAAAGGCUCACCAAGGCGACGACGGGUAGCCGGCCUGAGAGGGCGACCGGCCACACUGGGACUGAGACACGGCCCAGACUCCUACGGGAGGCAGCAGUAGGGAAUAUUGGGCAAUGGGCGCAAGCCUGACCCAGCGACGCCGCGUGAGGGAUGAAGGUCUUCGGAUUGUAAACCUCUUUCAGUAGGGAAGAAGCGAAAGUGACGGUACCUAAAGAAGAAGCACCGGCUAACUAUGUGCCAGCAGCCGCGGUAAUACAUAGGGUGCAAGCGUUGUCCGGAAUUAUUGGGCGUAAAGAGCUCGUAGGUCGUUUGUCGCGUCGAUUGUGAAAAUCUGAGGCUCAACCUCAGACCUGCAGUCGAUACGGGCAAACUAGAGUGUGGUAGGGGAGACUGGAAUUCCUGGUGUAGCGGUGGAAUGCGCAGAUAUCAGGAGGAACACCAAUGGCGAAGGCA
rnacentral:rRNA from 1 species